UACAGAGGUGGCAAGCGUUGUUCGGAAUUACUGGGCGUAAAGGGCGCGUAGGCGCCUUCUAAGUCAGACGUGAAAUCCCCCGGCUUAACCUGGGAACUGCGUCUGAUACUGGAAGGCUUGAGUGCGGGAGAGGGAUGUGGAAUUCCAGGUGUAGCGGUGAAAUGCGUAGAUAUCUGGAGGAACACCGGUGGCGAAGGCGGCAUCCUGGACCGACACUGACGCUGAGGCGCGAAAGCUAGGGUAGCAAACGGG
rnacentral:rRNA from 1 species